rnacentral:tRNA from 1 species
ACUUGAAUAGCUUAUUUUAGUUUAGAGCACGACACUGAAGAUGUCGAUGAGGUGUUUUCACCUUUAAGUA